rnacentral:lncRNA from 1 species
UUCAUUUCCAUAGUUUUCAUGAUAUAAGUCAUUUGAGUGCAUACCUUUCCUUCCCUUUUCAUGCCCAUUGAACUACUUAGAAUAAUAUCGGAUACAAGGGAAAUCUCACACAAAGUGUGCUAAACAUAUGGUCGAAACCAUUCCUUUUCAUCAUUGCUCACUCGAGCCCUAAAUGGGUCUGCUCACACAAGUUGACGGUCGGAAUGUAGCUAUACAAUGCCGUUCUCACAAGUUGAUGAGUAUCCGUAAAAAAUGUCUGGACUUAGCCAUUGAUAGGACAUGGUAACCUAGGUCUGCUCACACAAGUUGACGGUCGGAAUGUAGCUAUACAAUGCCGUUCUCACAAGUUGAUGAGUAUCCGUAAAAAAUGUCUGGACUUAGCCAUUGAUAGGACAUGGUAACCUAGGUCUGCUCACACAAGUUGACGUUUAAAAUGUAAGCUACACAAUGUUGCUCACACAAGCUGAUGAGUAUCUACAACAAAUUCCAGACCUAAGCCAUCGAUAGGACAUUCAGG